CAAGUCGAACGGUAACGCGCGGGCAACCUGGCGACGAGUGGCGAACGGGUGAGUAAUGUAUCGGAACGUGCCCAGUUGUGGGGGAUAACUGCUCGAAAGAGCAGCUAAUACCGCAUACGACCUGAGGGUGAAAGCGGGGGAUCGCAAGACCUCGCGCAGUUGGAGCGGCCGAUAUCAGAUUAGGUAGUUGGUGGGGUAAAGGCUCACCAAGCCAACGAUCUGUAGCUGGUCUGAGAGGACGACCAGCCACACUGGGACUGAGACACGGCCCAGACUCCUACGGGAGGCAGCAGUGGGGAAUUUUGGACAAUGGGGGCAACCCUGAUCCAGCCAUGCCGCGUGCGGGAAGAAGGCCUUCGGGUUGUAAACCGCUUUUGUCAGGGAAGAAAAGACUCCUGUUAAUACCGGGGGUUCAUGACGGU
rnacentral:rRNA from 1 species